ACUUUUCUGCAAACUGCACACACAAAAACAAACAUUUAUCAAUUAUUUAUAAGACAUAUACGCCGCACCCGAUCACCAUGGAUAUAUAAAUAUAUUGCUGAGGAGGUUGCUAAGUGCCACAUAUUGACUGGGGCGCCUCCGUUUGUUAUUGAAAACUAAGCAUCAGACAUAUGUUUAUUGAUAGCAACCUGUCGGCAGCUUUCACUGUGCUAACCACUCGAACUUAUAUCAUUCACACACACGCACACACACAAAUACAGACACCCAAUUUUGUUCUUUGCUUGAUGGAUUCAAUAAAAUGUUCAUUUACUUAA